UCAAGCUACAAAGGGCGCAUGGUGAAUGCCUUGGCACUAGGAGCCGAAGAAGGACGCGAUAAGCUGCGAUAAGCCUUGGGUAGCCGCAAAUAGGCUGAGAUCCAGGGAUUUCCGAAUGAGGAAACUCACAUGGGUAACCCCAUGUAUCAUGCACUGAAUACAUAGGUGUAUGAGGGUAAACCCGGGGAACUGAAACAUCUAAGUACCCGGAGGAAGAGAAAGAAAAAUCGAUUUCCUAAGUAGCGGCGAGCGAACGGGAAAGAGCCCAAACCAGAAACUUGUUUCUGGGGUUGUGGAUAGAUCAUAAAAGAAGAGGUAUCUUAAUCGAAGAGGGCUGGAACGCCCUACCAUAGAAGGUAAUAGUCCUGUAGGUAAAAAGAGAAAACUUCGAGAUCUAAUCCAGAGUACCACGAGACACGUGAAACCUUGUGGGAAGCAGGGAGGACCACCUCCCAAGGCUAAAUACUACCUAGUGACCGAUAGUGAAGCAGUACCGUGAGGGAAAGGUGAAAAGAACCCCGGAAGGGGAGUGAAAUAGAACCUGAAACCGUGUGCCUACAACCGAUCGGAGCACGUUAAAGUGUGACGAUGUGCUUUUUGUAGAACGAGCCAGCGAGUUACGCUAUGUAGCAAGGUUAAGUACUUAAGGUAUGGAGCCGAAGGGAAACCGAGUCUGAAAAGGGCGAAAAGUUGCAUGGUGUAGACCCGAAACCGGGUGACCUAUCCAUGGCCAGGUUGAAGCGAGAGUAAAAUCUCGUGGAGGACCGAACCACGUUGGUGUUGAAAAACCAUGGGAUGAGCUGUGGAUAGCGGAGAAAUUCCAAUCGAACUCGGAGAUAGCUGGUUCUCCUCGAAAUAGCUUUAGGGCUAGCGUCGUGUAAUUGAGUAAUGGAGGUAGAGCACUGAAUGGGCUAGGGGCUAUAGUAGUUACCGAACCCUAUCAAACUCCGAAUGCCAUAUACUUGUAUCACGGCAGUCAGACUGCGAAUGAUAAGAUCCGUAGUCAAAAGGGAAACAGCCCAGACCAUCAGCUAAGGUCCCAAAGUGUAAGUUAAGUGGAAAAGGAUGUGGGAUUUCUAAGACAACUAGGAUGUUGGCUUAGAAGCAGCCACUCAUUUAAAGAGUGCGUAAUAGCUCACUAGUCAAGAGAUCCUGCGCCGAAGAUGUCCGGGGCUCAAACUUACCACCGAAGCUAUGGGUGUACACUACGUGUACGCGGUAGGGGAGCUUUCUGUAUGGGUUGAAGUCGUACCGUAAGGAGCGGUGGACUGUACAGAAGUGAGAAUGCUGGCAUAAGUAGCGAGAAAUAAGUGAGAAUCUUAUUGGCCGAAAACCUAAGGUUUCCUGAGGAAGGUUCGUCCGCUCAGGGUUAGUCGGGACCUAAGCCGAGGCCGAAAGGCGUAGGUGAUGGACAAUCGGUUGAUAUUCCGAUACCACCUAUUUACGUUUGAGAAAUGGGGUGACGCAGUAGGAUAAGAUGUGCGCACUAUUGGAUGUGCGUCUAAGCACUUAGGCAUGCUUGAUAGGCAAAUCCGUCGAGCUAAGCUGAGGUGUGAUGGGGAGCCAUUUAUGGCGAAGUAUCUGAUUCCACACUGCCAAGAAAAGCCUCUAUCGAGUGAAUAGGUGCCCGUACCGCAAACCGACACAGGUAGGUGAGGAGAGAAUCCUAAGGCCAUCGGAAGAAUUGCUGUUAAGGAACUCGGCAAAUUGACCCCGUAACUUCGGGAGAAGGGGUGCCUACGAAAGUAGGCCGCAGAGAAUAGGCCCAAGCAACUGUUUAGCAAAAACACAGGUCUCUGCUAAAGCGAAAGCUGAUGUAUAGGGGCUGACGCCUGCCCGGUGCUGGAAGGUUAAGGGGAACACUUAGCGUAAGCGAAGGUGUGAACUUAAGCCCCAGUAAACGGCGGCCGUAACUAUAACGGUCCUAAGGUAGCGAAAUUCCUUGUCGGGUAAGUUCCGACCCGCACGAAUGGCGUAAUGAUUUGGGCACUGUCUCAACAGCAAAUCCGGCGAAAUUGUAGUGCAAGUGAAGAUGCUUGCUACCCGCGAUUGGACGGAAAGACCCCGUAGAGCUUUACUGUAGCUUAGCAUUGAAUCUCGGUAUUGUCUGUACAGGAUAGGUGGGAGACUUGGAAACUUGGGCGUCAGCCUGAGUGGAGUCAUCCUUGGGAUACCACCCUGACAGUACUGGGGUUCUAACCGGCGGCCAUGAAUCUGGUCACGGGACAUUGUUAGGUGGGCAGUUUGACUGGGGCGGUCGCCUCCUAAAAAGUAACGGAGGCGCCCAAAAGUUCCCUCAGCGCGGUCGGAAAUCGCGCGAAGAGUGCAAAGGCAGAAGGGAGCUUGACUGCGACACAUACAGGUGGAGCAGGGACGAAAGUCGGGCUUAGUGAUCCGGUGGUACCUCGUGGGAGGGCCAUCGCUCAACGGAUAAAAGCUACCUCGGGGAUAACAGGCUGAUCUCCCCCAAGAGUCCACAUCGACGGGGAGGUUUGGCACCUCGAUGUCGGCUCGUCGCAUCCUGGGGCUGGAGUAGGUCCCAAGGGUUGGGCUGUUCGCCCAUUAAAGCGGCACGCGAGCUGGGUUCAGAACGUCGUGAGACAGUUCGGUCCCUAUCCGUCGCGGGCGUAGGAAAUUUGAGAGGAGCUGUCCUUAGUACGAGAGGACCGGGAUGGACCAACCUCUGGUGCACCAGUUGUCACGCCAGUGGCACAGCUGGGUAGCUAUGUUGGGACUGGAUAAACGCUGAAAGCAUCUAAGCGUGAAGCCAACCUCAAGAUGAGAUUUCCCAUAGCGUAAGCUAGUAAGACUCCUGGAAGAACACCAGGUUGAUAGGUCAGAGAUGUAAGCAUGGCAACAUGUUAAGUUGACUGAUACUAAUAAGUCGAGGGCUUGACCAA
rnacentral:rRNA from 1 species